rnacentral:rRNA from 1 species
UUAUGGCUCAGGAUGAACGCUAGCGACAGGCCUAACACAUGCAAGUCGAGGGGCAGCACAAGGAGCAAUCUGAGGUGGCGACCGGCGCACGGGUGAGUAACACGUAUGCAACCUGCCUGUAAGCGGGGAAUAACCCGUUGAAAGACGGACUAAUACCGCAUAAUACUAAAUUACUGCAUGGUAAUUUAUUUAAACAUUUAUGGCUUACAGAUGGGCAUGCGCAUGAUUAGCUAGUUGGAGAGGUAACGGCUCCCCAAGGCAACGAUCAUUAGGGGUUCUGGGAGGAAGGUCCCCCCACACUGGUACUGAGACACGGACCAGACUCCUACGGGAGGCAGCAGUGAGGAAUAUUGGUCAAUGGACGAGAGUCUGAACCAGCCAAGUCGCGUGCAGGAAGAAUUGUCCUAUGGAUUGUAAACUGCUUUUGCAGGGGAAUAAAGUGCAUCACGUGUGAUGUUUUGUAUGUACUCUGCGAAUAAGGAUCGGCUAACUCCGUGCCAGCCGCUGC